rnacentral:sRNA from 1 species
UACCAGGGACUCACCAGCCCUCAACAGAAAGUGCGAGAAGAUGCCAAACAGCUCAUGGACCAGGGGAGGAGCUUCCACAGUGCGUCCACACUGGGCCAAGGGCAAGGUCCAAAGUGUCUACUCCAGGACUGCCCCUUGGUUGGACAUCUAAGACCUGGCCGCCCUCAUCUGCCUGGCACCCUCUGUACCCCCGAUCUUGACGGUGAAGUCCUGGGACACCAUGCAGUUGCGGGCUGCUAGAUCUCGGUGCACAAACUUGUUGGCAGCAAGCUACAUCGAGAACCAGCAGCAUCUGCAGCAUCUGGAGCUCCGUGAUCUGAGGGGCCUGGGGGAGCUGAGAAACCUCACCAUCGUGAAGAGUGGUCUCCGUUUCGUGGCGCCAGAUGCCUUCCAUUUCACUCCUCGGCUCAGUCGCCUGAAUCUCUCCUUCAACGCUCUGGAGUCUCUCUCCUGGAAAACUGUGCAGGGCCUCUCCUUACAGGAACUGGUCCUGUCGGGGAACCCUCUGCACUGUUCUUGUGCCCUGCGCUGGCUACAGCGCUGGGAGGAGGAGGGACUGGGCGGAGUGCCUGAACAGAAGCUGCAGUGUCAUGGGCAAGGGCCCCUGGCCCACAUGCCCAAUGCCAGCUGUGGUGUGCCCACGCUGAAGGUCCAGGUGCCCAAUGCCUCGGUGGAUGUGGGGGACGACGUGCUGCUGCGGUGCCAGGUGGAGGGGCGGGGCCUGGAGCAGGCCGGCUGGAUCCUCACAGAGCUGGAGCAGUCAGCCACAGUGAUGAAAUCUGGGGGUCUGCCAUCCCUGGGGCUGACCCUGGCCAAUGUCACCAGUGACCUCAACAGGAAGAACGUGACGUGCUGGGCAGAGAACGAUGUGGGCCGGGCAGAGGUCUCUGUUCAGGUCAACGUCUCCUUCCCGGCCAGUGUGCAGCUGCACACGGCGGUGGAGAUGCACCACUGGUGCAUCCCCUUCUCUGUGGAUGGGCAGCCGGCACCGUCUCUGCGCUGGCUCUUCAAUGGCUCCGUGCUCAAUGAGACCAGCUUCAUCUUCACUGAGUUCCUGGAGCCGGCAGCCAAUGAGACCGUGCGGCACGGGUGUCUGCGCCUCAACCAGCCCACCCACGUCAACAACGGCAACUACACGCUUCUGGCUGCCAACCCCUUCGGCCAGGCCUCCGCCUCCAUCAUGGCUGCCUUCAUGGACAACCCUUUCGAGUUCAACCCCGAGGACCCCAUCCCUGACACUAACAGCACAUCUGGAGACCCGGUGGAGAAGAAGGACGAAACACCUUUUGGGAUCUCGGUGGCUGUGGGCCUGGCUGUCUUUGCCUGCCUCUUCCUUUCUACGCUGCUCCUUGUGCUCAACAAAUGUGGACGGAGAAACAAGUUUGGGAUCAACCGCCCGGCUGUGCUGGCUCCAGAGGAUGGGCUGGCCAUGUCCCUGCAUUUCAUGACAUUGGGUGGCAGCUCCCUGUCCCCCACCGAGGGCAAAGGCUCUGGGCUCCAAGGCCACAUCAUCGAGAACCCACAAUACUUCAGUGAUGCCUGUGAGGGGCUAUGCUGGGUCAAGGGCAGGGGCGAGUGUGUGUGUGUGUGUGUGUGUGUGUGUGUGUGUGUGUGUAGAAGCCCCUAGGCCUGAACGAUCCCUCCCUUUCUCCCACCCCUCCCCAGCCCUAUUCCAGCCAUAGGCCCUGUCAUAUUCUUCUCAGGCUGAGUCCAGCCUGGCUCUUAGCUGCAGCCCCUGCCCAGAGUCACAGCUAGCCCACACCAUGUCCUCUCUGGGCAGAUGCAGCCCCACACUAUGACAUGGGGCUUGGUGAAGGGGUGCAGGUUGAAUUUUAGCCCCCAUGCAGUCCCUUGUCUGGGCAGCCUUGUGCAGCACACAGCCCUGCCAAGACAGUCCCCGCUACAACCCCAGCCCUCCCAAGCCUGGGGCUACCGUCUGACCCUGCAAGCCCCCUCAGGUGUUCACCACAUCAAGCGCCGGGACAUCGUGCUCAAGUGGGAGCUGGGGGAGGGCGCCUUUGGGAAGGUCUUCCUUGCUGAGUGCCACAACCUCCUGCCUGAGCAGGACAAGAUGCUGGUGGCUGUCAAGGCACUGAAGGAGGUGUCUGAGAGUGCUCGGCAGGACUUCCAGCGUGAGGCUGAGCUGCUCACCAUGCUGCAGCACCAGCACAUUGUGCGCUUCUUCGGCGUCUGCACCGAGGGCCGCCCCCUGCUCAUGGUCUUUGAGUAUAUGCGGCAUGGGGACCUCAACCGCUUCCUCCGAUCCCAUGGGCCUGAUGCCAAGCUGCUGGCUGGUGGGGAGGAUGUGGCUCCAGGCCCCCUGGGUCUGGGGCAGCUGCUGGCCGUGGCUAGCCAGGUCGCUGCGGGGAUGGUGUACCUGGCGGGUCUGCAUUUUGUGCACCGGGACCUGGCCACACGCAACUGUCUAGUGGGCCAGGGACUGGUGGUCAAGAUUGGUGAUUUUGGCAUGAGCAGGGAUAUCUACAGCACCGACUAUUACCGUGUGGGAGGCCGCACCAUGCUGCCCAUUCGCUGGAUGCCGCCCGAGAGCAUCCUGUACCGUAAGUUCACCACCGAGAGCGACGUGUGGAGCUUCGGCGUGGUGCUCUGGGAGAUCUUCACCUACGGCAAGCAGCCCUGGUACCAGCUCUCCAACACGGAGGCAAUCGACUGCAUCACGCAGGGACGUGAGUUGGAGCGGCCACGUGCCUGCCCACCAGAGGUCUACGCCAUCAUGCGGGGCUGCUGGCAGCGGGAGCCCCAGCAACGCCACAGCAUCAAGGAUGUGCACGCCCGGCUGCAAGCCCUGGCCCAGGCACCUCCUGUCUACCUGGAUGUCCUGGGCUAGGGGGCCGGCCCAGGGGCUGGGAGUGGUUAGCCGGAAUACUGGGGCCUGCCCUCAGCAUCCCCCAUAGCUCCCAGCAGCCCCAGGGUGAUCUCAAAGUAUCUAAUUCACCCUCAGCAUGUGGGAGGGGACAGGUGGGGGCUGGGAGUAGAGGAUGUUCCUGCUUCUCUAGGCAAGGUCCCGUCAUAGCAAUUAUAUUUAUUAUCCCUUG